AUACGGAGGGUGCAAGCGUUAAUCGGAAUUACUGGGCGUAAAGCGUACGUAGGCGGUGAGUUAAGUUAGAUGUGAAAGCCCCGGGCUCAACCUGGGAACUGCAUUUAAAACUGGCUCACUAGAGUUGACUAGAGGGGAGUGGAAUUUCAGGUGUAGCGGUGAAAUGCGUAGAGAUCUGAAGGAACACCAGUGGCGAAGGCGACUUCCUGGACUCAAACUGACGCUGAGGUACGAAAGCGUGGGUAGCAAACGGAAUUAGAUACCCUUGUAGUCC
rnacentral:rRNA from 1 species